GUUGAACGCUGGCGGCGUGCCUUACACAUGCAAGUCGAACGGCAGCACGGGUGCUUGCACCUGGUGGCGAGUGGCGAACGGGUGAGUAAUACAUCGGAACGUACCUUAUCGUGGGGGAUAACGCAGCGAAAGCUGUGCUAAUACCGCAUACGCCCUGAGGGGGAAAGCGGGGGAUCGCAAGACCUCGCGCGAUUAGAGCGGCCGAUGCCUGAUUAGCUUGUUGGUGGGGUAAAAGCCCACCAAGGCGACGAUCAGUAGCUGGUCUGAGAGGACGAUCAGCCACACUGGGACUGAGACACGGCCCAGACUCCUACGGGAGGCAGCAGUGGGGAAUUUUGGACAAUGGGGGCAACCCUGAUCCAGCAAUGCCGCGUGAGUGAAGAAGGCCUUCGGGUUGUAAAGCUCUUUUGUCAGGGAAGAAACACCGGCUCUAACACAGUCUGGGAAUGACGGUACCUGAAGAAUAAGCACCGGCUAACUACGUGCCAGCAGCCGCCGUAA
rnacentral:rRNA from 1 species